CGUGGUUUUUAUUUUUCCGGCGGUAUCUUUUGCUUCUUAUAAAUUGGUAAGUCUCUCUCGAUUCUCGUUUGUCAUGGCUACUAGUGCAAAAAACGAUAUUGCAAUACAGUUUUCAUAGCUAUCUCAUUCCGAUGUUGCUAUGUUUUGUUUGAGCAUGGGAUUGACCCGUUCCAAGCUUAGGGCUUAUCCUGAAGCGUUCCUCGUGUUGUUAAGGAUUAAUGCUAAGUGGACUGAUCAGUCGUAUGUGCCUUCUUUUGUUGUUGAUGGGAAGAAGAUGAGUGGCUUGGAUUUUAUCAUGCUUGUUGACUUGACUGAAGCUAAUAAGGGUGUGCAUGUGUCGAUUUGGUUUGGUUUUUACCAUUAACCAUAAUCAUAACCGCUAGUUUCGGUUAUAGAGUUUGGUAACCAUAACCAAACUUUGGUUAUAGUAAUCGGUUAUGAAGUCGGUUAUGGUUCGGUUUUGGUUAAUUUCGGUUAAGUAACCAAGCAAGGUUUGAAAUAAAUAGGGUUGUGCACGAUUUGAACUUAGCUUGAGCCUUUUUUAUAAGAUAGCAAAGACUUAACUUUUUGGUUAAAAUAACGAUUUAGGGUUCUUUUUAAUAAGGUAAUUCUCAAACAAAAAAAUUAUGGUCAUACCACCUUACUUCUUUAUCAAAAUAAAGGACAUCUACAUCAAUAUCAUUUUGUUACUAACAUACUUUUAUCUUAGUGAAAACUCUCUAUAUGAUUAUGUAAAAUAUAAAUCAAUUAUAUAAACUUAACAUUACAAGUUCGGUUUCGGUUAUAUCAGUUAACCAAAGCUUUAUAACCAUAACCAUAACUAUAACCGAUUGAGCGGUUAUACAAAGUUUCAUAACCAUAACCAUUGGUUAUAUUGGUUAUCCGUUAUUAGCGGUUCGGUUAUGUCAGUUAUUUGUUAUGGCGGUUAAUUUGCUCACCCCUAGAAGUUGAUAUGGUGUUAAAGGAGGUUCCGUGGGAUCGUCCUCCUAUUUCCCGUUGUAUUAAACAUGUGCCUUCUGCUGGUGACUUUGUCAGCGUUCCUGUUUAGCCAACAAUUGAAUUUCGGGUGUUAAGAAGGCCUCUCAUCCUGUUUGGAGGUCGACUAGGGUAACUACUACUGGGCAAGCUUCUAAAUCCUCUGAUCCCAUAUUUGCUUGGCAAGUAAGUCGUUGAAAUUGUAUAUCUCAUCGUUAUUAUUCAAAAUCAGUUUCAAAUAUUCUCUCAAGUUUCAUAAUUUCAUACCACAUUCACGUUCGGUCACCACCGUUGUUACUGUCGCAUCACCAUAAUUGAGCCACCAUCGCCACACCUCAUUCAUCCCCAAUUCAAUAGUUUCAAAAUUCUUGGAAAUCAAGAUUCGUAACCGAGUAUCAUUUCCGUCGAACCUUAACCACAUUCAUCGACAAUUUCAAGAUUCUUUUCGAUAAUCUCAUAAUGCUUAACAUGUUGAGAAAGGGUUACAGAGGUUAUAUACUGCCUUUAUACCCACGAGUUUUGAAUCAUGGGAAGAGUAAUACAUGCAUGGCUUACGCUUUCGGCUAGAUGUUAACGAUACUAUUCAAGAUGAAGAAUGGGCUAGAAAACAAAAACCUCGUUUUAAUCCAUAAUCCCCUAGUAUUUGUUAAAACCGUUGAGGCUAUAGAAAACAUUUUGAUGGAUGAAGUGCUUCAAGACAGGGAGGUUGCAUAAAGGUGGAUAGGUCGACAUCGGUUUGUUUAUGGUAUUGGACCACGAUACAGGUUGCACCACCAAUCCACGUGUCAAUCUGUUAUUGAGCCAAAUUGAAGGCACUCACAAGGAAUUUUGGGCCUGAUGGCCCAAAACUGCCAAUGGUUGGUAGUUGCAAUAUGCAUUCACUCUGAAAACCUUCGAUAGCAGCAAGAUCUUUAGAACAAUGUCCUUUCCGGUGGAAGGUACCCCCCGUGUGAAGGUAAUCAUGCAGUUUUGAUUGUGGGAAUCUAUGUACUAAGAGAUCACUCGUUGAUAUAUAUUAGCGUGCAAAUAAAGAAUUCUUGGGAUGUUUGAUUAACUAUUGUUUUAGUUCAUACGUUUACCUUGCACAAA